AGCCAUGCCGCGUGUGUGAAGAAGGCCUUCGGGUUGUAAAGCACUUUCAGUUGGGAGGAAGGCUUUAAGGCUAAUACCCUUGAAGAUUGACGUUACCAACAGAAUAAGCACCGGCUAACUCCGUGCCAGCAGCCGCGGUAAUA
rnacentral:rRNA from 1 species